GUGCUUGCUUUGACAACACAUAUACUAAAAUUGAAACAAUCCAGAGAAGAUUAGCAUGGCCCCUGCACAAAGAUGACACAUGACAUUGUCUACCUGUAACUAGUGUCU
ensembl:snRNA U6 U6 spliceosomal RNA